CCUAAAUAGCACUCUGGCCUCAGAAUCAGCCCUAAAGGCACUCGGAUCUGGCUGAAAAGCCCAUGAGAGUAUUUCAGGCAUGGAAAGCCAAGACACUCUGGCAAAAAGAUCUCUGCGAGUGAGAUCCCAGUGGAAAGAACAGGUCUUCAAAGAAGGAGGUACCUUUCUCUGAAGGGAGGAGAGAACCUCCACUUUGACUAUGACCUUGUCUAAACAAGAUAAGAGUCGGAGAACUCAAGGGGCUUCCAUAGCCUUGGAAACUCAUGACUGGAGCAUAGGGAGAUUACUGAUGCCAUAAACAGGAGUGUCAAUUGGUAAAGUCAACAACAGGAGUCACUGUGCACUUACUCCUCAUGUAGGAUCUCUGUCAUUAAUGUGCUGUGCAUUGAGAUUUAAUGCUAUAACGAGUACUCAAAUAAUAUAUUUCACUUUGUGUUUCUAUGGGGGUGCAAACUGUUGAAAUCUUUACUUAAUGCAUACUAAACUGAUCCUCUGUAAAAAAAAAAAAAAAAAAAGAAAAGAAAAGAAACUAUCAACUCCCAACUUGACUCUCACUGGGAUUAAACAUGACAAUAGGUCUGAUCUGAUUUCAUCAUCAUUAAAAAAAAUCAUCUAUUAUUUUUCA